rnacentral:rRNA from 1 species
GUGGGGAAUCUUCCGCAAUGGGCGAAAGCCUGACGGAGCAACGCCGCGUGAACGAGGAAGGUCUUCGGAUCGUAAAGUUCUGUUGCAGGGGACGAACGGCACUAUAGCCAAUAAGUAUAGUGAAUGACGGUACCCUGUUAGAAAGCCACGGCUAAUUACGUGCCAGCAGCCGCGGUAAUACGUAGGCGGCAAGCGUUGUCCGGAAUCAUUGGGCGUAAAGGGAGCGCAGGCGGAACAUUAAGCGGAUCUUAAAAGUGCGGGGCUCAACCCCGUGAUGGGGUCCGAACUGAGGUUCUUGAGUGCAGGAGAGGAAAGCGGAAUUCCCAGUGUAGCGGUGAAAUGCGUAGAUAUUGGGAAGAACACCAGUGGCGAAGGCGGCUUUCUGGACUGUAACUGACGCUGAGGCUCGAAAGCCAGGGUAGCGAACGGGAUUAGAUACCCCAGUAGUCC